GCUGGGCGCUGUGGCGUGUGCCUGUAGUCCCAGCUACUUGGGAGGCUGAGGUGGGAGGAUCUCUUGAGCCCAGGAGUUCUGGGCUGCAGUGCACUAUGCCGAUGGGGUGUCUGCACUAAGUUUGGUAUCAAUAUGGUGACCUCCCGGGAGCGGGGGACCACCAGGUUGCCUAAGGAGGGGUGAACCGGCCCAGGUCAGAAACGGAGCAGGUCAAAACUCCCGUGCUGAUCAGUAGUGGGAUCGCGCCUGUGAAUAGCCGCUGCACUCCAGCCUGGGCAACAUAGCGAGACCCCAUCUCU
rnacentral:SRP_RNA from 1 species